rnacentral:rRNA from 1 species
GAUUAACGCUGGCGGCGUGCAUAACACAUGCAAGUCGAACGAUGAAACUUAAAUGAUUUCUUCGGAAUGAACUUAAGUGGAUUAGUGGCGGACGGGUGAGUAACGCGUGAGUAACCUGCCUUACACAAGGGGAUAGCCGUUGGAAACGACGAAUAAUACCCUAUGAAACUAUCACUUCGCAUGAAGCGAUAGUCAAAGUGUUAGCGGUGUAAGAUGGACUUGCGUCUGAUUAGCUAGUUGGUGAGAAAAAAGCCCACCAAGGCAACGAUCAGUAGCCGGCUUGAGAGAGUGUACGGACACAUUGGGACUGAGACACGGCCCAGACUCCUACGGGAGGCAGCAGUGGGGAAUUUUGCACAAUGGGGGAAACCCUGAUGCAGCGACGCCGCGUGAUUUAGAAGGCCUUCGGGUUGUAAAAAUCUUUUGUAUAGGAAGAAAAUGACAGUACUAUACGAAUAAGGUCCGGCUAAUUACGUG